GUCGAGCGGACUGAAGGGAGCUUGCUCCCGGACGUUAGCGGCGGACGGGUGAGUAACACGUAGGCAACCUGCCUUGUAGACUGGGAUAACUUCGGGAAACCGGAGCUAAUACCGGAUGUUAGAUGAAUCGCGCAUGCGUUUUAUCUAAAAGUUGGCCUCGGCUAACACUACAAGAUGGGCCUGCGGCGCAUUAGCUAGUUGGUAAGGUAGUGGCUUACCAAGGCGACGAUGCGUAGCCGACCUGAGAGGGUGAUCGGCCACACUGGGACUGAGACACGGCCCAGACUCCUACGGGAGGCAGCAGUAGGGAAUCUUCCGCAAUGGACGAAAGUCUGACGGAGCAACGCCGCGUGAGCGAUGAAGGCCUUCGGGUCGUAAAGCUCUGUUGUUAGGGAAGAACAAGUGCCGUUCGAAUAGGUCGGCACCUUGACGGUACCUAACCAGAAAGCCACGGCUAACUACGUGCCAGCAGCCGCGGUAAUACGUAGGUGGCAAGCGUUGUCCGGAAUUAUUGGG
rnacentral:rRNA from 1 species